rnacentral:rRNA from 1 species
UACGGAGGGUGCAAGCGUUAAUCGGAAUUACUGGGCGUGAAGCGCACGCAGGUGGCUGAGUCAGUCGAUUGUGAAAGCCCUGGGCUUAACCUGGGAAUUGCAGUCGAUACUACUCGGCUCGAGUAUGGGAGAGGGCAGUGGAAUUCCCGGUGUAGCGGUGAAAUGCGUAGAUAUCGGGAGGAACAUCAGUGGCGAAGGCGGCUGCCUGGCCCAAUACUGACACUCAGGUGCGACAGCGUGGGGAGCAAACAGG